GGCUUCUAGAUUCCAUGGCUGACAGGAAGCUCAUGAUUGAGUUCUCUGAAGUAUUACUGCUUGAGUCAAGUGCUCCUGAUGGUCAAAAAAAAUAAAAGAAGGACAACCACAGUAGGCAACAAACUGUGCUGCGGUCAUAGGCCCAAGAAGCUACGGUCUGUGCUGGUGGAGCCAGCGCGUCCGCAAAGCUGGAGGUCGGGUAGUUCCUGUCCAUCAUCCGGUGAAAGAUUCACUUCCCCGACGGAGCUUCGUGGAGCAGCGGACACACAUCGUAGCAGCCCAGGUCCAACCCACCGACCGACCGACCAAGGCAGGCAGUCCCGUCAGAGCACGCCACAGUCCGCAAAGCCGCCGUGAAGUCGUGCUAUAUCCUGGUUAAAAGUGUACCUUUAGCCUUCUGAGUGAUUUCGUUAUUUUUUUUGUUCAUAUCCCGUCAUGGAGAGCCGUACAAGCCCUGCAUGGUUUCACGUACCCAUGUUGGUUGAUUUCCCAGGAUGCACCGCAGACUUUGGCUGGAAGUUUUGUAGUUUUCCUUCCUUCCACCCAAAAGUUCAGCUAAAUCUUCCACCUGCAUGGUUUUUGACAUCAUUUGAACACUUUCUUUCUACAAUGUCAUAGAACCCCCAAAUCCCCAUAUGAAGCGAUUUGUUUUACACUGACUCUGCUUGGAUAAUGUGUUGAAAUGAUUAUAAUAUAAUGCAAAGAUUACUCAGUGAAUUAAUAAUAAUAAAUUAAUGCAUACAAAUAAUUAAAGUAUCAGUCAUUGGAUCCUGUUUGAAAGCCUUACAACAUUUGUUUAGUUUUGUUGCAUGUCCCCUUGGUGAGACUUUUUUGGAAUUAUGUUUGUGCUUUUAUCAGCAGCCUUAUUGAUAACCAUUUUAUGUGUUGUACCAGUUGGCAUCCUUGAAGAUAACAGGUUACUUGA